AUUGAACGCUGGCGGCAGGCCUAACACAUGCAAGUCGAGCGAGCGGCGGAAGGGUGAGUAAUGUCUGGGGAUCUGCCCGAUGGAGGGGGAUAACUACUGGAAACGGUAGCUAAUACCGCAUACUAUCAGAUGAACCCAUAUGGGAUUAGCUAGUUGGUGGGGUAAAGGCUCACCUAGGCGACGAUCUCUAGCUGGUCUGAGAGGAUGACCAGCCACACGGGGACGGGGACACGGCCCAGACUCCUACGGGAGGCAGCAGUGGGGAAUAUUGCACAAUGGGCGCAAGCCUGAUGCAGCCAUGCCGCGUGUAUGAAGAAGGCCUUAGGGUUGUAAAGUACGUUCAGCGGGGAGGCGUUACCCGCAGAAGAAGCACCGGCUAACUCCGUGCCAGCAGCCGCGGUAAUUC
rnacentral:rRNA from 1 species